rnacentral:rRNA from 1 species
GACGAACGCUGGCGGCGCGCCUAACACAUGCAAGUCGAACGAGAGAGGAAGAGCUUGCUUUUCCGAUCGAGUGGCGAACGGGUGAGUAACGCGUGAGGAACCUGCCUCAAAGAGGGGGACAACAGUUGGAAACGACUGCUAAUACCGCAUAAGCCCACGGCUCGGCAUCGAGCAGAGGGAAAAGGAGCAAUCCGCUUUGAGAUGGCCUCGCGUCCGAUUAGCUAGUUGGUGAGGUUACGGCCCACCAAGGCGACGAUCGGUAGCCGGACUGAGAGGUUGAACGGCCACAUUGGGACUGAGACACGGCCCAGACUCCUACGGGAGGCAGCAGUGGGGAAUAUUGCACAAUGGGGGAAACCCUGAUGCAGCGACGCCGCGUGGAGGAAGAAGGUCUUCGGAUUGUAAACUCCUGUUGUUGAGGAAGAUAAUGACGGUACUCAACAAGGAAGUGACGGCUAACUACGUGCCAGCAGCAGCCGCGG